UGGGGAAUAUUGGACAAUGGGCGCAAGCCUGAUCCAGCCAUGCCGCGUGAGUGAUGAAGGCCCUAGGGUUGUAAAGCUCUUUCACCGGUGAAGAUAAUGACGGUAACCGGAGAAGAAGCCCCGGCUAACUUCGUGCCAGCAGCCGCGGUAAUACGAAGGGGGCUAGCGUUGUUCGGAUUUACUGGGCGUAAAGCGCACGUAGGCGGACUUUUAAGUCAGGGGUGAAAUCCCGGGGCUCAACCCCGGAACUGCCUUUGAUACUGGAAGUCUUGAGUAUGGUAGAGGUGAGUGGAAUUCCGAGUGUAGAGGUGAAAUUCGUAGAUAUUCGGAGGAACACCAGUGGCGAAGGCGGCUCACUGGACUGCAACUGACACUGAGGCACGAAAGCGUGGGUAGCAAACAGG
rnacentral:rRNA from 1 species